rnacentral:rRNA from 1 species
AUUGAACGCUGGCGGCAGGCCUAACACAUGCAAGUCGAGCGGAGCGGCGGACGGGUGAGUAAUGCCUAGGAAUCUGCCUGGUAGUGGGGGAUAACGUCCGGCAAGGGGCGCUAAUACCGCAUACUAUCAGACGAGCCUAGGUGGGAUUAGCUAGUUGGUGGGGUAAAGGCCUACCAAGGCGACGAUCCGUACCUGGUCUGAGAGGAUGAUCAGUCACACUGGAACUGAGACACGGUCCAGACUCCUACGGGAGGCAGCAGUGGGGAAUAUUGGACAAUGGGCGAAAGCCUGAUACAGCCAUGCCGCGUGUAUGAAGAAGGUCUUCGGAUUGUAAAGUACUUUAAGUUGGGAGGCGUUACCAACAGAAUAAGCACCGGCUAACUUCGUGCCAGCAGCCGCGGUAAUUC